rnacentral:rRNA from 1 species
GACGAACGCUGGCGGCGUGCUUAACACAUGCAAGUCGAACGGAAAGGCCUGCUUUCCCUUGUGGAUUGCGGGUACUCGAGUGGCGAACGGGUGAGUAACACGUGAGUGAUCUGCCCCCAACUUGGGUAUAAGCCUGGGAAACUGGGUCUAAUUCCCGAUAGGACUGCAGGGUGGUGCCUGUGGUGGAAAACGAUGUUCUAGUGGGUGGGGAUGAGCUCGCGGCCUAUCAGCUUGUUGGUGGGGUAAUGGCCUACCAAGGCGGCGACGGGUAGCCGGCCUGAGAGGGUGGACGGCCACAUUGGGACUGAGAUACGGCCCAGACUCCUACGGGAGGCAGCAGUGGGGAAUAUUGGACAAUGGGCGGAAGCCUGAUGCAGCGACGCCGCGUGGGGGAUGACGGCCUUCGGGUUGUAAACUCCUUUCGACCGCGAGGAAGCCACCUGGUUGGAAGGGUGGUGACGGUAGUGGUAGAAGAAGCACCGGCUAACUACGUG